GGAGGAGUGAAGAAUUCUCAUAUGUGACUCACCGGCAUAUUUGGGAACAUUGGACUCAUCCAUGGACCAGAAACAGUGGUCAAAGGCGAACACCUGCAGAGAAGACAGCAAAGCGAGCGUCAACACACGUUCCACACUUGUCCAAAGCAUGGUCAGGAUCGAGUACUAUCAGGCCGUGCUUAACCCCUCCCAAGUCAACCGGGCAAGGCUCCAGCUCACCUCUGACACUAAUGAGAGCAAGAGGUGUUGAAGAUGGAUGGAUGAACUGAAAUCCUGUUUCUGCGCCAUUAUCCUGUCUGACUAACGCUGCCUGGAGGGCCGUGGGGAACUGGAGCCUAACCUAGCUGACUUUGGGAGAUAAACCGACAACAGCCUGGACUGGACGCCGGAGUACCCAAAGACCGACUAUUCACACUAAUAUCUGAAGUAAUUGGACUUAAGCAGUCUGCACUGAAGUCAGGGGAGUCUACCACUAAACCACCAGUGACCCGAUUAAUUCUGUUCCGUUGUUUCCCAUGUGGAAAAUUCCAUUACAUUCCACCAACGCUUCA